rnacentral:rRNA from 1 species
UACAGAGGGUGCAAGCGUUGUUCGGAAUUAUUGGGCGUAAAGGGCGCGUAGGCGGUGCCACAAGUCACCUGUGAAAUCUCCGGGCUUAACUCGGAGCCUGCAGGCGGAACUGUGGUGCUGGAGUGUGGGAGAGGUGCGUGGAAUUCCCGGUGUAGCGGUGAAAUGCGCAGAUAUCAGGAGGAACACCGAUGGCGAAGGCAGGUCUCUGGGCAUUAACUGACGCUGAGGAGCGAAAGCAUGGGGAGCGAACAGG